rnacentral:rRNA from 1 species
AUUGAACGCUGGCGGAAUGCCUUACACAUGCAAGUCGAACGGCAGCACGGACUUCGGUCUGGUGGCGAGUGGCGAACGGGUGAGUAAUGUAUCGGAACGUGCCCAGUCGUGGGGGAUAACGUAGUGAAAAUUACGCUAAUACCGCAUACGAUCUAUGGAUGAAAGCGGGGGAUCGCAAGACCUCGCGCGAUUGGAGCGGCCGAUAUCAGAUUAGGUAGUUGGUGGGGUAAAGGCCCACCAAGCCAACGAUCUGUAGCUGGUCUGAGAGGACGACCAGCCACACUGGAACUGAGACACGGUCCAGACUCCUACGGGAGGCAGCAGUGGGGAAUUUUGGACAAUGGGCGAAAGCCUGAUCCAGCCAUUCCGCGUGCAGGAUGAAGGCCCUCGGGUUGUAAACUGCUUUUGUACAGAACGAAAAGGUUUCAACUAAUACUAGGAGCUCAUGACGGUACUGUAAGAAUAAGCACCGGCUAACUACGUGCCAGCCGCCGCGGUAA